GUGCUUGCUUCAGCAGCACAUACACUAAAAUUGGAAUGAUACAGAGAAGAUUAGCGUGGCCCCUGCGCAAGGAUAACACACAAAUUCAUGAAGCGUUCCAUAUUUUU
rnacentral:snRNA from 1 species